rnacentral:lncRNA from 1 species
CCUGCCUCAGCCUCCUGUUAACGUGUUGGGAUUACAGGCGCAGGCAGAUCACUUGAGGUCAGGAGUUGGAGCAGCCUGGCUAACAUGGUGAAACCUCGUCUCUACUAAAAGUACAAAAAUUAGCUGGGCCAUUGUGCGGGACGUCUGUAAUCCCAGCUGCUCAGGAGGCUGAGGCGGGAGAAUCACUUGAACCUGGGAGGCGGAGGUUGCAGCGAGCCGAGAUCAUGCCACUGCACUCCAGCCUGGGUGACAGAGCGAGAGACCCUGUAUCAAAACAAACAAAGAAACAGCAACAACAACAAAAAUUAGCCUCGGGUGGUAGCAUGCAUCUGUGAUUCUCAGCUACUUGGGAGGCUGAGGUUGAAGGAUUGCUUGAGCCCAGGAGAUCAGGGCUGCAGUGAGCUAUGAUUAUACCACUGCACUCCAGCCUGCAUGACAGACCAAGACCUUGUCUCAAAAAUAAGAUAAAAAUAAGAAUAUUUUCAAAUGUUUGCCAAUCUGAUGGGUGAAAAAAUGCAAAUUCAUUGUUUUCACUAGAGUUUCC